rnacentral:rRNA from 1 species
GACGAACGCUGGCGGCGUGCUUAACACAUGCAAGUCGAACGGAAAGGCCCUGCUUUUGUGGGGUGCUCGAGUGGCGAACGGGUGAGUAACACGUGAGUAACCUGCCCUUGACUUUGGGAUAACUUCAGGAAACUGGGGCUAAUACCGGAUAGGAGCUCCUGCUGCAUGGUGGGGGUUGGAAAGUUUCGGCGGUUGGGGAUGGACUCGCGGCUUAUCAGCUUGUUGGUGGGGUAGUGGCUUACCAAGGCUUUGACGGGUAGCCGGCCUGAGAGGGUGACCGGCCACAAUGGGACUGAGAUACGGCCCAGACUCCUACGGGAGGCAGCAGUGGGGAAUAUUGCACAAUGGGCGGAAGCCUGAUGCAGCAACGCCGCGUGCGGGAUAACGGCCUUCGGGUUGUAAACCGCUUUCGCCUGAGACGAAGCGUGAGUGACGGUAAUGGGUAAAGAAGCACCGGCUAACUACGUG